UCGGACAUGGUGAGAGCGACAUCGCUUUGGGCACACAGCAGAAGGACGUCACCAUCAAGUCAGAUGCGCCUGACACCCUGCUGCUCGAGAAGCAUGCUGAUUAUAUCGCCUCGUACGGCUCAAAGAAAGAUGAUUAUACCUUGUAAAAUGCAGUAAUUGGUGUUUGGUAGACUGAAGGAGUGAAUGUUGCCUACUAAAUUCACCUGAAGUUGGCACUUGGAAACUAUUAAAGUUUGUUCUCAAUCUUCCUGAUGCUGCAACCCUGUCGUACCAUACAGUUCUGCAUGUUGUGGAAUACUGCAUGUCCGAAUACUUGAGAAUGAGCGGCGUCUACUGGGGCCUGACAGUGAUGGACCUCAUGGGGCAGCUUCAUCGGAUGAAUAAAGAGGAGAUACUGGUGUUUAUCAAGUCGUGCCAGCAUGAGUUGUGGGGGAGUCAGUGCCAGCAUCGGGCACGACCCCCACCUUCUCUACACGCUCAGUGCUGUCCAGAUUCUCACUCUGUAUGAUAGCAUCCAUGUAAUCAACGUAGACAAAGUGGUAGCCUAUGUUCAGAGUCUACAGAAAGAAGAUGGUUCCUUUGCUGGAGACAUCUGGGGUCCCACUAAGCAGUUGGUCUAACUGGAGUAAAAUGGCCUGCUGGAAGUCCCAGCAUGCCCCGUGCUGGCUUGUCAGCACGCCACACUAAAAGAUAAGGAGAAAUCGAUACAAGAUUCUCAUUUUGUGCAGUGGCAACUUUGGCUCUCUUGGGCAAACUUGAUGCUAUUAAUGUGGAAAAGGCCAUUGAAUUUGUUUUGUCCUGUAUGAACUUUGAUGGUGGAUUUGGGUGCAGACCAGGCUCUGAAUCUCACGCCGGACAGAUCUAUUGUUGCACAGGAUUCCUGGCCAUAACUAGUCAGUUGCAUCAAGUGAACUCCGACCUACUUGGUUGGUGGCUUUGUGAACGACAGUUGCCCUCUGGCGGACUCAAUGGAAGACCCGAGAAG
rnacentral:lncRNA from 1 species